rnacentral:tRNA from 1 species
GGAGGGGCCGGCGGUUACGGAAGCGCCGCUGGAAACGGCGCGCUCGCCGAGAGGUGGGUCGCGGGUUCGAAUCCCGCUCCCUCCGCCA